rnacentral:misc_RNA from 1 species
CCGAGGUUACAACUCCCAAACCCCUGUGAACAUACCUUUAUGUUGCCUCGGCGGAUCAGCCCGCGCCCCGUAAAACGGGACGGCCCGCCGCAGGAAACCCUAAACUCUGUUUUUAGUGGAACUUCUGAGUAUAAAAAACAAAUAAAUCA